UACGUAGGGUGCGAGCGUUAAUCGGAAUUACUGGGCGUAAAGUGUGCGCAGGCGGCCAUGCAAGUCGAGUGUGAAAGCCCCGGGCUUAACUUGAGAAUUGCGCUCGAAACUACGUGGCUGGAGUGUGGCAGAGGAAGGUGGAAUUCCACGUGUAGCGGUGAAAUGCGUAGAGAUGUGGAGGAACACCAAUGGCGAAGGCAGCCUUCUGGGCCAACACUGACGCUCAUGCACGAAAGCGUGGGGAGCAAACAGG
rnacentral:rRNA from 1 species